rnacentral:lncRNA from 1 species
GUGACCGGAAGUCAUCAUGUCCUACGUUGCUAAUUUGACGUUUCUUUUCAACAUGUCUCCCUCGCAGACUCUCGUCCAUUAUUAGAAGCUUCUGGAUAUUUCGUGAAACUGCUUCGUUUUGUUAGCACUAAGCUAACGGGCCGUUAGACAGCCAGGACCCAGAAAAACAACAGCAGCAGCAGCAUCAUCAAUGGUGUGUCUACAUCCCGGAGCCGUCACAUUUUCCUGUGUCCGCUCAAUGAACCAUCUCCUCAGCUCUCAUCACGGCUGCACAUGUAUGGCGUUUGCGAGGCUUGGAGGGGAGUUUUGCCAAGCCCAGCACCUGCUGCUUAUUGUGGACAAGUGAAAAGGAGACGUCAGCUAGGCACACUCACUGCCAUUCACGCACACAGGUCCCUACUGCCAUCCCGUUCAACCCUUAUGAAGAAGAGCCACCCUGCAGUCUGUGAGCUGUCUCAGAGAGAGGGGCAAGCAUUGGUUUCAGCCUGGGAGUUUCCUCUCUGCUCUUCUUCUUUCCAGCUUUUCCUCUCCUCCUCUUCUUCUUCUGCUGUGAUUUGUACAAGUCUUCUCUGAAUGGGCUAAUAGAGUUUAAAGAAGGAGGAGAGAUCUGAUCUUUUUCAGUCUUGAUUCAAUCCGCCAGAGUUUAACUCUUGCCAAGCCAAUUUUACUUUUACUUUAUUGCCAAGGCAAUUUUUUUUCUAUUUCUUGACCAAAAUUUUGUAUUUUUGUCAGAUUGAUUUAGUAACAUUCACCAAAAACACAAUUGUUUUUUUCUUUAAGUGGUGAGAUUUUGUUUGUUUGCUUUGCAUUUUGUUUUUUAACAGUCAGAAGGGUUUUCCCUCAGACUCUGUUACUCCACUCUUUGAAGCACAGUACUUUCCAGACUUUUAUUCUUUAUAAUU